CCUACUGGAGGCUGCAGUCGAGAAUCAUUCACAAUGGGCGAAACCCUGAUCGUGCGACGCCGCGUUGGGGAAUGAAGGUCUUCGGUUUGUAAACCCCUGUCAUGUUGGAGCAAAUUAAAAAGAUAGUACCACAAUAGGAAUAGACUGCUAACUCUGUGCCAGCAGCCGCGGUAAUUCAGAUGUCUCAAGCGUUGUUCGGAAUCACUGAUCGGAAAGCGUGCCUAUGCUGGUUCGUAAGUCUUGAGUGAAAGGCGAGGGGUCAACCCGCGGAAGGCACCUGAUACUGCGAGACUAGCGUAAUGGAGGGGGAAGCGGAAUUCUCGGUGGAGCAGUGAAAUGCGUAGAUAUCGAGGGGAACACUCGUGGCGAAGGCGGGUUCCUGGACAUUAACUGGCGCUGAGGCACGAAGGCCGUGGGGAGCGAAAGGGAGUAGAUACCCCUGUAGUC
rnacentral:rRNA from 1 species